ensembl:lncRNA
GAAAUAUCCAGUUAUUACAUGCAAGGUUAAUAUUAUAUCAGUUAGCUAUUGUCUUUAAUCUUAAAUGUUAUUCCCAUCUAAUAAUCAUCUAAUUCCCUUCAGUCCUCCAGCUGUGCGCCACAAUCACCUGUACAGGAGAGGAGUGAUGCAAUACCUCUAGAGGCACCAUGUGCUAAAUCUGAGGAAGGGAAGUUGGACUUGGCUCCUGUCCCAAGCCUUGCCAAAGGCCCCACAGCUCAUCUGGCCAACGACAGAGACCCAGAGAGCGAUUCUGGUCUGCCCGAUCGCUCAUCGGAGCCGAAUCAGCAGCCUCAAGCCGAUACCGUGGGCGGUGCUGUGGAGAGCACAGUCACCGUGUCCUCCUCGCCGCCUCCUGCUCUGCUCAAACGAAGGGACUCUCCCUCAUCGCCAAGGUUGAGUCGAAUCCCUGUCCGAGAUCCCAGCAACCCCCUGGACUCUCCGAGCAGGGACUUGAACAUAGAGAAGCGUAACCGCUGGAGCAGUCCCAUCCCUGGCUCCCCCACCCACUCACCCUCUCCAUCUCUGUCCUGUGACAACCUCCCCUCCGCCCUGCCCAGAGACAGGCUCUCCUCAGACCGAGGCUCCAGAUCCGACUGUGCAGGAGAAGACCCUCUCUCGCUGUCCUUGUCAUCAUGCAGUAAAAGUAAAAUCCCACGUCCUGUGAGUGCCACGUUUGUGCCGGAGCAACUCACUAGCAGGUUUCUGCCCCGGCCACCUCCUGGGAAACCGCCCAUCCGCCCAUGUGUAGACAACAGACGGCGGCGGUUAAGGGUGCGUGCCAGCAGCACCAGCGACGCAGACUUCCUGGCGAGCCUGACCCAGCUGAUGCAGGACCGCAGCGGGAUGCUCUUCAGCCCGCCUCCUUGCCCUCGCAGCUCAUCUUCCUCCCUACAGCGUUCGCUCAGCUCCUCCCCGUCCCGGGAGCUCCGCGACGGCGGGGCACUGCAGGGCCGUAGCCGCUCUCCGUCUAGCUUAUCUGGCUCCCCUCCUCGGCACGCUCACCCUCCGGACAGGUCUGGCGGGCUGGGUCAGUGGAGCCACGGCUCCAGAGGAAGGGGUUCGAUCUACGAGGGUAAAGGCUCCGGCAAAGUGACUUGAUGUGGCCGUGUUUCCACACAAAUGACUGAUCCGUAUCGUGCAACUUGUAGCGAGAGGCUGCCUCACAUCCAGUCACCCAGAUAGCAUGUGUAAAUAUGGUAUUUACUCAAGGGAAUGUACUGUAUGUAAUGUAAAGUGUAUGAUAAAUUGUAUUUAUUUAUUUAUUCAUUCAUUCCUUGGAUGUGUCUCUCAGAAUACUUGACUUUGGUGGCUUGAUACCUGCAGCAGAAACACAAAUAGUGAGAAAAUCUUGAGAUUGCCAACUUUUACCUCUCAUAUCACUACACUCUCUUAACACUCCAUAUAGGCCUACUAUGAGACCAAAAAGGUUAUGUUUAAUACUUGAGGGAUGUAAAGAAAUCUAAAAUAAAGUAAUGCUAAUUGUAGAUAUGUACCAUUAGGAAAAUGGUAUACACUAAUAGAGACCAUGUACUCACAUUUAGAACACUACAGUAGUAAACAACACCACAAGCAGCACACAGACAUCAGCAUUCAUGUAUAGAAGCAGGGCAUGCAGUCCCAUAUUGACCUCACUCCUGUAAAACUGCUAGAUUAAUUAUAGUAUGUAACAAUGAAUUGCUCAUUUUGGCAUAUCAGAGUGUAAUAGUGUGCUCUUACUUUGCUAUAAAGUAUUUAACAUGCAGAAGGCAUCAGCAUAUUAGAAUGUACAUGUUUAAGUGCACUCAUACUUUAGUAUUGUAAUCGUGCAUGAGUGUCAUUGCAAAUGAUUUCUGGGUUGUUUUUUUGUUUUUUUUAUUUGUACAAUCGGCUGAAGCAUCUGCAUUUUUAUUGAGCUGCUUCUGAUCAAAAUACAUCCAUGACAUAGACCAGCAA